rnacentral:rRNA from 1 species
UAGCAUAUGCUUGUCUCAAAGAUUAAGCCAUGCAUGUCUAAGUAUAAAAGUAUUCUAUACUUGAAACUGCGAAUAGCUCAUUAAAUCAGUUAUAGUUUAUUUGAUGAUACCUUACUACAUGGAUACCCGUAGUAAUUCUAGAGCUAAUACAUGCGUAAAGACCUGACUCGUGAGGGAAGGGUUGUAUUUAUUAGAUAAAAAACCAAUGCACCGGCAACGGUGGUUUGUGGUGAUUCAUAAUAACUGUUCGAAUCGUAUGACCUCGCGUCGACGAUAGU